CCGAGUUAGGGUCCUUGAGGCCCGACCUCCAACCCUGUGUUUAUCUGACUGUGUUGCUUCGGCGGGCCCGCUGGCCCUCCUGCGUUGGGAGGAGGCUGGCCGCCGGGGGGAACGUUUCGGACGACCCCUGGCCCGUGCCUGUCGAUGGCCAACCUCACAAACUCAUGAUGAACUGUGUUGUCUUAAAGUACCAAAUUAAAUACAAGUUA
rnacentral:misc_RNA from 1 species